AACGAACGCUGGCGGCAGGCCUAACACAUGCAAGUCGAGCGAACCCUUCGGGGUUAGCGGCGGACGGGUGAGUAUCGCGUGGGAAUGUGCCCUUCUCUACGGAAUAGCCUCGGGAAACUGAGAGUAAUACCGUAUACGCCCUUUGGGGGAAAGAUUUAUCGGAGAAGGAUCAGCCCGCGUUGGAUUAGGUAGUUGGUGGGGUAAUGGCCUACCAAGCCGACGAUCCAUAGCUGGUUUGAGAGGAUGAUCAGCCACACUGGGACUGAGACACGGCCCAGACUCCUACGGGAGGCAGCAGUGGGGAAUCUUAGACAAUGGGGGCAACCCUGAUCUAGCCAUGCCGCGUGAGUGAUGAAGGCCUUAGGGUUGUAAAGCUCUUUCAGCUGGGAAGAUAAUGACGGUACCAGCAGAAGAAGCCCCGGCUAACUCCGUGCCAGCAGCCGCCGUAAAAC
rnacentral:rRNA from 1 species